rnacentral:rRNA from 1 species
UGCGCAGGCGGAGCGACAAGUCAGUGGUGAAAUCCUACGGCUCAACCGUAGAACUGCCAUUGAUACUAUCGUUCUUGAGUACAGUUGAGGUAGGCGGAAUGUAGCAUGUAGCGGUGAAAUGCAUAGAUAUGCUACAGAACACAAAUAGCGAAGGCUGCUUACCAAACUGAGACUGACGCUCAGGCACGAAAGCGUGGGGAGCGAACAGGAUUAGAUACCCUGGUAGUCC